rnacentral:rRNA from 1 species
GACGAAGGGGGCUAGCGUUGUUCGGAAUUACUGGGCGUAAAGCGAGUGUAGGUGGUUGUCCAAGUUGGAUGUGAAAGCCUUGAGCUCAACUCAAGAAAUGCAUUCAGGACUGGGCGGCUAGAGGACCGGAGAGGAUAGUGGAAUUCCCAGUGUAGUGGUGAAAUACGUAGAGAUUGGGAAGAACACCGAUGGCGAAGGCAGGUCUCUGGGCCGCAACUGACGCUGAGGAGCGAAAGCAUGGGGAGCGAACAGG